rnacentral:tRNA from 1 species
UCUAAUGUGGCAGAAUAGUGCAAUGGAGUUAAGAUCCGAAUAUAAAGUAAAACUUUCUUUAGAA